rnacentral:snRNA from 2 species
AUACUUACCUGGACGGGGUCGAUGGGCGAUCGUGAAGGCCCAUGGCCUAGAUCAGUGGCCCACAUUGCACUUUGUGGGUGCGCUGGUCUACCAUCUCCCCAAGUGGGAGAGUGGACGUCAUAAUUUGUGGUAGAGGGGGUACGCGUUCGCGCGGCCCCCGC